rnacentral:rRNA from 1 species
AGUGAACGCUGGCGGCAGGCCUAACACAUGCAAGUCGAACGGCAGCACAGUAAGAGCUUGCUCUUACGGGUGGCGAGUGGCGGACGGGUGAGGAAUACAUCGGAAUCUACUUUUUCGUGGGGGAUAACGUAGGGAAACUUACGCUAAUACCGCAUACGACCUACGGGUGAAAGCAGGGGAUCUUCGGACCUUGCGCGAUUGAAUGAGCCGAUGUCGGAUUAGCUAGUUGGCGGGGUAAAGGCCCACCAAGGCGACGAUCCGUAGCUGGUCUGAGAGGAUGAUCAGCCACACUGGAACUGAGACACGGUCCAGACUCCUACGGGAGGCAGCAGUGGGGAAUAUUGGACAAUGGGCGCAAGCCUGAUCCAGCCAUACCGCGUGAGUGAAGAAGGCCUUCGGGUUGUAAAGCCCUUUUGUUGGGAAAGAAAAGCAGCAGGUUAAUACCCCGCUGUUCUGACGGUACCCAAAGAAUAAGCACCGGCUAACUUCGUG